GACGAACGCUGGCGGCGUGCUUAACACAUGCAAGUCGAACGGAAAGGCCCUGCUUUUGUGGGGUGCUCGAGUGGCGAACGGGUGAGUAACACGUGAGUAACCUGCCCUUGACUUUGGGAUAACUUCAGGAAACUGGGGCUAAUACCGGAUAGGAGCUCCUGCGGCAUGGUGGGGGUUGGAAAGUUUCGGCGGUUGGGGAUGGACUCGCGGCUUAUCAGCUUGUUGGUGGGGUAGUGGCUUACCAAGGCUUUGACGGGUAGCCGGCCUGAGAGGGUGAACGGCCACAUUGGGACUGAGAUACGGCCCAGACUCCUACGGGAGGCAGCAGUGGGGAGUCUGGCACAAUGGGCGGAAGCCUGAUACAGCAACGCCGCGUGCGGGAUGACGGCCUUCGGGUUGUAAACCGCUUUCGCCUGUGACGAAGCGGGAGUGACGGUAAUUGGUAAAGAAGCACCGGCUAACUACGUG
rnacentral:rRNA from 1 species